rnacentral:rRNA from 1 species
UUAAGCAUAUCAAUAAGCGGAGGAAAAGAAACUAACAAGGAUUCCCCUAGUAACUGCGAGUGAAGCGGGAAAAGCUCAAAUUUGAAAUCUGGCGGUCUUUGAUCGUCCGAGUUGUAAUCUAGAGAAGUUGUUACCUGUGCAGGACCAUGUACAAGUCUCCUGGAAUGGGGCAUCAUAGAGGGUGAGAAUCCCGUCUUUGACAUGGACUACCUGCAUGUUGUGGUGCGCUCUCAAAGAGUCGAGUUGUUUGGGAAUGCAGCUCAAAAUGGGUGGUAAAUGCCAUCUAAAGCUAAAUAUUGGCGAGAGACCGAUAGCGAACAAGUACCGUGAGGGAAAGAUGAAAAGAACUUUGGAAAGAGAGUUAAACAGUACGUGAAAUUGCUGAAAGGGAAACGCUUGAAGUCAGUCACAUUGGCCAGAAAUCAGCCUUGCUUCUGUGAGGUGUACUUUCUGUUUGAUGGGUCAGCAUCAGUUUUGAUCACUGGAUAAAGUCUCUGGGAAUGUGGCAUCUUUGGAUGUGUUAUAGCCCAUUUUCACAUGCAGUGGUUGGGAUUGAGGAACUCAGCACGCCGAAAGGCCAGGUUUCGACCAUGUUCGUGCUUAGGAUGCUGGCAUAAUGGCUUUAAUCGACCCGUCUUGAAACACGGACCAAGGAGUCUAACAUGCCUGCGAGUGUUUGGGUGGAAAACCCAUGCGCGCAAUGAAAGUGAAAGUUGAGAUCCCUCUUAGUAGGUGAGCAUCGACGCCCGGACCAGACCUUUUGUGACGGAUCCGCGGUAGAGCAUGCAUGUUGGGACCCGAAAGAUGGUGAACUAUGCCUGAAUAGGGUGAAGCCAGAGGAAACUCUGGUGGAGGCUCGUAGCGAUUCUGACGUGCAAAUCGAUCGUCAAAUUUGGGUAUAGGGGCGAAAGACUAAUCGA